GAGGGUAUAGCUCAGUGGUAGCGCACGUGCUUAGCAUACACAAGGUCCUGGGUUCAAUCCCCAAUACCUCCC
rnacentral:tRNA from 1 species